rnacentral:rRNA from 1 species
AGAGUUUGAUCCUGGCUCAGGAUAAACGCUAGCGGUAGGCUUAACACAUGCAAGUCGAGGGGCAACACGGUAGCAAUACUGGUGGCGACCGGCGCACGGGUGAGUAACGCGUAUGCAACCUGCCUUUUACCAAGGGAUAGCUCAGAGAAAUCUGAAUUAAUACCUUAUAACACUGCAAUAAGGCAUCUUAAAGCAGUUAAAACUCCGGUGGUAAAAGAUGGGCAUGCGUGACAUUAGCUAGUUGGUAGGGUAACGGCCUACCAAGGCUACGAUGUCUAGGAGGUCUGAAAGGAUGGUCUCCCACACUGGUACUGAGACACGGACCAGACUCCUACGGGAGGCAGCAGUGAGGAAUAUUGGUCAAUGGGUGGAAACCUGAACCAGCCAAGCCGCGUGAAGGAUGAAGGCUCUAGUAGUCGUAAACUUCUUUUAUAGGGGAAUAAUAGCUUGUACGUGUACAGGUAUGAAUGUACUCUAUGAAUAAGCAUCGGCUAACUCCGUGCCAGCAGCCGCGGUAAUACGGAGGAUGCAGGCGUUAUCCGGAUUUAUUAGGUUUAAAGGGUGUGUAGGCGGAUUAUUAAGUCAGUGGUGAAAUCUCUCAGCUUAACUGAGAAACUGCCAUAGAUACUGAUAGUCUUGAAUAUAGUUGAGGUAGGCGGAAUGUGUAGUGUAGCGGUGAAAUGCUUAGAUAUUACACAGAACACCAAUUGCGUAGGCAGCUUACUAAACUAUUAUUGACGCUGAGGCACGAAAGCGUGGGGAGCGAACAGGAUUAGAUACCCUGGUAGUCCACGCCGUAAACGAUGAUGACUAGUUGUUAGCGAUACACCGUUAGCGACUGAGCGAAAGCAUUAAGUCAUCCACCUGGGGAGUACGAUCGCAAGAUUGAAACUCAAAGGAAUUGACGGGGGCCCGCACAAGCGGAGGAACAUGUGGUUUAAUUCGAUGAUACGCGAGGAACCUUACCUGGGCUUGAAAGUUAGUGACUGUAUCAGAAAUGGUACAUUCUAGCAAUAGACACGAAACUAGGUGCUGCAUGGCUGUCGUCAGCUCGUGCCGUGAGGUGUCGGGUUAAGUCCCAUAACGAGCGCAACCCUUAUCGUUAGUUGCCAGCGGGUAAUGCCGGGAACUCUAAUGAGACUGCCACCGUAAGGUGUGAGGAAGGUGGGGAUGGCGUCAAGUCAGCACGGCCCUUACGUCCAGGGCUACACACGUGUUACAAUGGCCGGCACAGAGGGCAGCUACAUAGCGAUAUGAUGCUAAUCUCGAAAUCCGGUCUUAGUUCGGAUCGAAGUCUGCAACUCGACUUCGUGAAGUUGGAUUCGCUAGUAAUCGCGCAUCAGCAAUGGCGCGGUGAAUACGUUCCCGGGCCUUGUACACACCGCCCGUCAAGCCAUGGAAGCUGGGGGUACCUGAAGUUCGCAACCGCAAGGAGCGGCCUAGGGUAAAACUAGUAACUGGGGCUAAGUCGUAACAUGGUA